CAGCAGCCACGGUAAUACGUAGGUGGCAAGCGUUAUCCGGAAUUAUUGGGCGUAAAGCGCGCGUAGGCGGUUUUUUAAGUCUGAUGUGAAAGCCCACGGCUCAACCGUGGAGGGUCAUUGGAAACUGGAAAACUUGAGUGCAGAAGAGGAAAGUGGAAUUCCAUGUGUAGCGGUGAAACGCGCAGAGAUAUGGAGGAACACCAGUGGCGAAGGCGACUUUCUGGUCUGUAACUGACGCUGAUGUGCGAAAGCGUGGGGAUCAAACAGGAUUAGAUACCCCCGUAGUCCCUGUCUCUUAUAU
rnacentral:rRNA from 1 species